UCCCCCCUACGGGACGCAGCAGUGGGGGAUAUUGCACAAUGGGGGAAACCCUGAUGCAGCGACGCCGCGUGGGUGAAGAAGCGCCUCGGCGUGGAAAGCCCUGUCAGCAGGGAAGAAAAUGACGGUACCUGAAGAAGAAGCCCCGGCUAACUACGUGCCAGCAGCCGCGGUAAUACGUAGGGGGCAAGCGUUAUCCGGAUUUACUGGGGGUAAAGGGGGCGCAGACGGCGAUGCAAGCCAGGAGUGAAAGUCCGGGGCCCAAACCCGGGACUGCUC
rnacentral:rRNA from 1 species